rnacentral:rRNA from 1 species
CCCAUCGAUCGACACAAUGCAGUCGAGCGGAUGACGGGAGCUUGCUCCUUGAUUAGCGGCGGACGGGUGAGUAAUGCCUAGGAAUCUGCCUGGUAGUGGGGGACAACGUUUCGAAAGGAACGCUAAUACCGCAUACGUCCUACGGGAGAAAGCAGGGGACCUUCGGGCCUUGCGCUAUCAGAUGAGCCUAGGUCGGAUUAGCUAGUUGGUGGGGUAAUGGCUCACCAAGGCGACGAUCCGUAACUGGUCUGAGAGGAUGAUCAGUCACACUGGAACUGAGACACGGUCCAGACUCCUACGGGAGGCAGCAGUGGGGAAUAUUGGACAAUGGGCGAAAGCCUGAUCCAGCCAUGCCGCGUGUGUGAAGAAGGUCUUCGGAUUGUAAAGCACUUUAAGUUGGGAGGAAGGGCAGUAAGUUAAUACCUUGCUGUUUUGACGUUACCGACAGAAUAAGCACCGGCUAACUCUGUGCCAGCAGCCGCGGUAAUACAGAGGGUGCAAGCGUUAAUCGGAAUUACUGGGCGUAAAGCGCGCGUAGGUGGUUCGUUAAGUUGGAUGUGAAAGCCCCGGGCUCAACCUGGGAACUGCAUCCAAAACUGGCGAGCUAGAGUACGGUAGAGGGUGGUGGAAUUUCCUGUGUAGCGGUGAAAUGCGUAGAUAUAGGAAGGAACACCAGUGGCGAAGGCGACCACCUGGACUGAUACUGACACUGAGGUGCGAAAGCGUGGGGAGCAAACAGGAUUAGAUA